rnacentral:rRNA from 1 species
CAGCAGCCACGGUAAUACGAAGGGGGCUAGCGUUGCUCGGAAUCACUGGGCGUAAAGGGUGCGUAGGCGGGUCUUUAAGUCAGGGGUGAAAUCCUGGAGCUCAACUCCAGAACUGCCUUUGAUACUGAAGAUCUUGAGUUCGGGAGAGGUGAGUGGAACUGCGAGUGUAGAGGUGAAAUUCGUAGAUAUUCGCAAGAACACCAGUGGCGAAGGCGGCUCACUGGCCCGAUACUGACGCUGAGGCACGAAAGCGUGGGGAGCGAACAGGAUUAGAUACCCCGGUAGUCCCUGUCUCUUAUAC